rnacentral:misc_RNA from 1 species
UGUUAAGGCUAAAAGACUGGUUCGUAGUCCAGCACAUAAAGGGAAAGCACAAUUUAAUCCCAGAUCUCCUGUCUAGACCUAGAGAACUCCACCUCAUUAGAUCACAUUUUACAUUUCCCUUAAUCUUAAUGGCUUCCUCAUCCUCUCCAAAUACUCCUUGUUUUCUCAUCCCUGUACCAGACAGUUUCCCUCUAGGUUGCUCUCCCAAUCAACCUAUUCCAAAAAUAGCUCAAUUUGCA